rnacentral:misc_RNA from 1 species
UUCCUUGACUAAAACAAGAUAAUGAGA